ensembl:snRNA U2 U2 spliceosomal RNA
AUCGCUUCUCAGCCUUUUGGCUAAGAUCAAGUGUAGUAUCUGUGAAGUGCCAGUCAUUCUUAUCAAGUUUAAUAAGAGUCUUGAUUGGACUAUUAAAAUAAGAAGCAGUGUUAUAACCACCUUUUCUCUAAAGAGGACUUAUAAAAUGGGUUUCAAUUCUAUUUUACGUAUAUUAGAACAAAU